UACGUAGGUGGCAAGCGUUGUCCGGAUUUAUUGGGCGUAAAGGGAGCGCAGGUGGUUUCUUAAGUCUGAUGUGAAAGCCCACGGCUUAACCGUGGAGGGUCAUUGGAAACUGGGGAACUUGAGUGCAGAAGAGGAAAGUGGAAUUCCAAGUGUAGCGGUGGAAUGCGUAGAUAUUUGGAGGAACACCAGUGGCGAAGGCGACUUUCUGGUCUGUAACUGACACUGAGGCUCGAAAGCGUGGGGAGCGAACAGGAUUAGAUACCCGGGUAGUCCCUGAGCGGG
rnacentral:rRNA from 1 species